rnacentral:rRNA from 1 species
CCUACGGGAGGCUGCAGUAGGGAAUCUUUCACAAUGGGCGAAAGCCUGAUGGAGCAACGCCGCGUGCAGGAUGAAGGCCUUCGGGUUGUAAACUGCUUUUAUAAGCGAGAAAUAUGAUGGUAACUUAUGAAUAAGGAUCGGCUAACUACGUGCCAGCAGCCGCGGUCAUACGUAGGAUCCGAGCAUUAUCCGGAGUGACUGGGUGUAAAGAGUUGCGUAGGUGGCAUAAUAAGUAGCGAGUGAAAUCUGGUGGCUCAACCAUUCAGACUAUUAGCUAAACUGUUAAGCUCGAGAACGUUAGGGGUAACUGGAAUUUCUAGUGUAGGAGUGAAAUCCGUAGAUAUUAGAAGGAACACCAAUAGCGUAGGCAGGUUACUGGGACGGUUCUGACACUAAGGCACGAAAGCGUAGGGAGCAAACGGGAUUAGAUACCCCAGUAGUC